UCGUCUUUGUGGUCAAAGCAUAAACUCUCCCAAUCCCUGCACAUGACAUACAACAAAGAGAAUUAACUAAAUAUAAUAUUAUGAUGAAGACGGAUGAUGGAAUAAAAUCGACUCGACGAUAUAUUGCUAGUUAAUGAAAUUCGAAAUUGCCAGAAUGUUCGAGUGCCGAAGUUUGGUCAAAGAGUCACUCUGUACAACUGUUAUCUAAUUAUUCAUGCUUUCAACAAAAAGACAAUUGCUCGACACGUCGCCCUAUUCUGAAAGAACCUCACAAGAAAAAAGCACAAAACACUCACCACAUGAGUUGAAAAGCACUUUGCUGAAGAAAUGGAACACCAAGAAAAGAUUUCAAAAUGUGAAAGAACAACUUAGGAGCAGCUGCAGCAUUAUAGUAUAUAAUUGAAACUUAAAUAUAUUUUUAUUCGCACAUGUAUUAAAUAAUACAUAUGUACAUACAUAUUUACAAAUAAAAUCUUGUCCAAAUUAUUUAAACAUAAAUAUGUA